rnacentral:rRNA from 1 species
AUUGAACGCUGGCGGCAGGCCUAACACAUGCAAGUCGAGCGGAUGAGGGUAGCUUGCUACCUGAUUCAGCGGCGGACGGGUGAGUAAUGCCUAGGAAUCUGCCCGAUAGUGGGGGACAACGUUUCGAAAGGAACGCUAAUACCGCAUACGUCCUACGGGAGAAAGUGGGGGAUCUUCGGACCUCACGCUAUCGGAUGAGCCUAGGUCGGAUUAGCUAGUUGGUGAGGUAAUGGCUCACCAAGGCUACGAUCCGUAACUGGUCUGAGAGGAUGAUCAGUCAAACUGGAACUGAGGCACGGUCCAGACUCCUACGGGAGGCAGCAGUGGGGAAUAUUGGACAAUGGGCGAAAGCCUGAUCCAGCCAUGCCGCGUGUGUGAAGAAGGUCUUCGGAUUGUAAAGCACUUUAAGUCGGGUGGAAGGGCUGUAGGCUAAUACCUUGCAGUUUUGACGUUACCGACAGAAUAAGCACCGGCUAACUUCGUGCCAGCCGCCGCAGUAAUAC